rnacentral:rRNA from 1 species
AUUGAACGCUGGCGGCAGGCCUAACACAUGCAAGUCGAGCGGAGCGGCGGACGGGGGAGUAAUGCCUAGGCAUCUGCCUGGGAGUGGGGGAUAACGUCCGGAAACGGGCGCUAAUACCGCAUACUAUCAGAUGAGCCUAGGUCGGAUUAGUUAGUUGGUGGGGUAAAGGCCUACCAAGGCGACGAUCCGUAUCUGGUCUGAGAGGAUGAUCAGUCACACUGGAACUGAGACACGGCCCAGACUCCUACGGGAGGCAGCAGUGGGGAAUAUGGGGCAAUGGGCGAAAGCCUGAUGCAGCCAUGCCGCGUGUAUGAAGAAGGUCUUCGGAUUGUAAAGCACUUUAGGUUGGGAGGCGUUACCAACAGAAUAAGCACCGGCUAACUUCGUGCCAGCAGCCGCGGUAAUAC